rnacentral:ncRNA from 1 species
CCGAAUGCUAAUAAAUGUUCCACGGCAGUGAGGGCGCGGGUGCUAAGGUCCGUGUCCGAGAGGGAAAGAACCCAGACCAACAGCUAAGGUCCCCAAAUCUCUAUUAAGUUGAAGCAACGCGGUUGGACUGCAUUGACAGCUAGGAUGUUGGCUUGGAAGCAGCCAUUCAUUUAAAGAGUGCGUAACAGCUCACUAGUCGAGCGGUCCGGCAUGGAUAAUAAUCGGGCAUAAAUAGAGUACCGAAGCUAUGGAUUUACAACUAAGGGUUGUAUCUGGUAGGGGAGCAUUCUGUUUGCACAGAAGCAGUGUCGCGAGGCAUUGUGGAGCGUACAGAAAAGAAAAUGUAGGCAUAAGUAACGAUAAAGCGGGCGAGAAACCCGCUCACCGAAAGACUAAGGUUUCCUCAGCCAUGCUAA